rnacentral:rRNA from 5 species
UUCUGACCGUAAACGAUGCCAACUAGCGAUCCGCCGGCGGCUUCUCGGCCCUGGUGGGGAGCUUCCCGGAAACGAAAGUCUUCCGGUUCCGGGGGAAGUAUGGUUGCAAAGCUGAAACUUAAAGGAAUUGACGGAAGGGCACCACCAGGAGUGGAGCCUGCGGCUUAAUUUGACUCAACACGGGAAAACUCACCCGGCCCGGACACCGUGAGGAUUGACAGAUUGAUAGCUUUUUCAUGAUUCGGUGGUUGGUGGUGCAUGGCCGUUCUUAGUUCGUGGAUCGAUUUGUCUGGUUUAUUCCGAUAACGAGCGAGACUCCAGCCUACUAACUAGUGCGGGCAUUGCCUCUGUGCUUGUCACUUCUUAGAGGGAUUGGCUGCGUCUAGCGGCACGAAACGGAGCAAUAACAGGUCUGUGAUGCCCUUAGAUGUCCGGGGCUGCACGCGCGCUACACUGGCAAAGGCAGCGUGCUUGUCCGCCUCCGAAAGGAGCCGGUAAACCCUUGAAAAUUUGCCGUGAUUGGGAUCGGAAAUUGCAAUUAUUUUCCGUGAACGAGGAAUUCCUAGUAAGUGCGAGUCAUCAGCUCGCGUUG